UGAUAAAAAGAGGAAUUAAACCCCUGUGGGUGAAACUACACUUCACUGCCUCAGACAUUCGGCCAUUUUACC
rnacentral:tRNA from 1 species